GGACCUUUGAAGAAUCCUCUCAACUUAUGGAUACUAAUCCAUCAGCUGCAAAUAGCCACACAAAUGUUCACCACUAUGAAGCUUUGUACGAUAUGGAGUUGUAUUAGGGACUCAGACCUGGGAGAACAGCCACUGCCCAGACAUGUUCAGCGACAGAUAAAACAGUAUAACAUUUUGCAAAGGCAAAUUCCUCCUCUUCUGCUGUAGAAAAACUUGGUUUCUUCUUCAUACACACUGAGUCCUUCUGCUCAUAAUGCUGGUCCUAAACGCCUUAAUCCAAAAGCAGCCAAUAAAAAGUUUUUAAAAGUCCAA
rnacentral:antisense_RNA from 1 species